UUGGGUCUCACGCGACAGAGAACUGUGAACCCCGUCAGGUCCGGAAGGAAGCAGCGGUAAUCAAUCAUCUUUGAGCGCUGUGAGG
rnacentral:SRP_RNA from 1 species